rnacentral:rRNA from 1 species
GGUGAACGCUAGCGGCAGGCUUAACACAUGCAAGUCGAGGGGCAGCACGGAAGUGGUAACACUUUUGGUGGCGACCGGCGGACGGGUGCGUAACGCGUAUGCAACCUACCUCAGGGAGUGGGAUAACUCCCAGAAAUCGGAGCUAAUACAGGAUAGUUCAUCGGACCGCAUGGUCCGUUGCGGAUAGGCGCUCCGGCCUCGCUGUGAGCUGGCCUCGCGGUGCAUUAGCUAGUUGGUGGGGUAACGGCCCACCAAGGCGACGAUGCAUAGCCGACCUGAGAGGGUGAUCGGCCACACUGGGACUGAGACACGGCCCAGACUCCUACGGGAGGCAGCAGUAGGGAAUCUUCCACAAUGGACGAAAGUCUGAUGGAGCAACGCCGCGUGAGUGAUGAAGGUUUUCGGAUCGUAAAACUCUGUUGUAAGGGAAGAACACGUACGAGAGGAAAUGCUCGUACCUUGACGGUACCUUACGAGGAAGCCACGGCUAACUACGUGCCAGCCGCCGCCGUAA